UAUGUCCUUUUCUUGGGUUAGCGCUACUGUCCAAUGAAUGAGUAGUGAGGACAGUACUGCUAAUGCCUACACAAUAUGCCUGCAUCAACUAGAGCUUUGCUUAUGUAAAUUUGUACAUUA
rnacentral:ncRNA from 1 species